rnacentral:rRNA from 1 species
AUUGAACGCUAGCGGCAUGCCUUACACAUGCAAGUCGAACGGAGUGGCGAACGGGUGAGUAAUGUACCGGAACGUGCCCAGUAGCGGGGGAUAACUACGCGACAGCGCAGCUAAUACCGCAUACUAUUGGCGCGGCCGAUAUCGGAUUAGCUAGUUGGUGGGGUAACGGCUCACCAAGGCGACGAUCCCUAGCUGGUUUGAGAGGACGACCAGCCACACUGGGACUGAGACACGGCCCAGACUCCUACGGGAGGCAGCAGUGGGGAAUUUUGGACAAUGGGGGAAACCCUGAUCCAGCCAUCCCGCGUGUGCGAUGAAGGUCUUCGGAUUGUAAAGCACUUUAAGUUGGGAGGCGUUACCAACAGAAUAAGCACCGGCUAACUUCGUGCCAGCAGCCGCGGUAAUAC